GCCUCUUUGAGAACAUCUGAUAAAAUUAGAACAACAUAUAGAAGAUUAGCAUGGCCUUUACGCAAGGAUGACAUGCAGUAAUUCAGAAAUUACAUUUGAAAGU